CAGGUGCGGUGGUGCGCACCUAUAAUCCCAGCUACUUGGGAGAAUGAGGUAGGAGGAUCAUGAGUUCAGGGCCAUCCUGAGCAACUUAGGUAAGAUCCUGCCUCAA
rnacentral:sRNA from 1 species